GACGAACCGUCCAAACGUUGUUCGGAAUCACUGGGCUUAAAGGGCGCGUAGGCGGACUGCCAAGUCCGGGGUGAAAUCUUUCGGCUUAACCGGAAAAGGGCCUUGGAAACUGGCGGUCUCGAGGGAGGUAGGGGCCUGUGGAACUUCGGGUGGAGCGGUGAAAUGCGUUGAUAUCCGAAGGAACGCCGGUGGCGAAAGCGACGGGCUGGAUCUCUUCUGACGUGAGGCGCGAAAGCCAGGGGAGCAAACGGGG
rnacentral:rRNA from 1 species